UCCACCGUGAGGUGGAAUCUGAAGGAAGUCGGAGGCAAAAUCUCGGUCUGAGGAACACGAACUAUAUAUAAGGCUUACUAAGGACGGAUGAGUUUGCUAAACAAAACAAAGUCCAACACUACCCAAAUCCUUAGGAGUAAAUAUAGCAGAUAUAUGAGAUGAAGGUUGUUGUU
rfam:Clostridium sp. HMP27 Clostridium-HMP27_contig_29, whole genome shotgun sequence.